GGUCCUGUCCGCCGGUCCGCCUUCUUGGUGUGUACUUGUUGGAUGGGACCUUACCUCCUGGUGAACGGCGAUGUCCUUUACUGGGUGUCGUCGCAAACCAGGACGUUUACUUUGAAAAAAUUAGAGUGUUCAAAGCAGGCCUUUGCCCGAAUACAUUAGCAUGGAAUAAUAGAAUAGGACGCGCGUUCCCAUUUUGUUGGUUUCUGAGAUCGCCGUA
rnacentral:rRNA from 1 species